AUACGGAGGGUGCGAGCGUUAAUCGGAAUUACUGGGCGUAAAGCGCGCGUAGGCGGAUAAUUAAGUCAGAUGUGAAAUCCCCGGGCUCAACCUGGGAACUGCAUUUGAUACUGAUUAACUCGAGUAUGGUAGAGGUGAGUGGAAUUUCCGGUGUAGCGGUGAAAUGCGUAGAGAUCGGAAAGAACACCAGUGGCGAAGGCGACUCACUGGGCCAUUACUGACGCUGAGGUGCGAAAGCGUGGGUAGCAAACAGGAUUAGAAACCCUUGUAGUCC
rnacentral:rRNA from 1 species